UACGAAGGGUGCAAGCGUUACUCGGAAUUACUGGGCGUAAAGCGUGCGUAGGUGGUUUGUUAAGUCUGAUGUGAAAGCCCUGGGCUCAACCUGGGAAUUGCAUUGGAUACUGGCAGGCUAGAGUGCGGUAGAGGAUGGCGGAAUUCCUGGUGUAGCGGUGAAAUGCGCAGAUAUCUGGAGGAACACCGGUGGCGAAGGCGGCAUCCUGGACCGGCAUUGACGCUGAGGCGCGAAAGCCAGGGGAGCAAACGGG
rnacentral:rRNA from 1 species